ACGGGGAUAACCUCGGGAAACUGAGAAUAAUACCCGAUAGAUCAUUAUGCCUGGAAUGGCUUAUGGUUAAAAUGAAUUUCGCUAUAGGAUGGGACUGCGGUCUAUCAGCUUGUUGGUGAGGUAAUGGCCCACCAAGGCUAUAACAGAUACGGGCUCUGAGAGGAGAAGCCCGGAGAUGGGUACUGAGACACGGACCCAGGUCCUAUGGGGCGCAGCAGGCGAGAAAACUUUGCAAUGUGCGAAAGCACGACAAGGUUAAUCCGAGUGGUUUCUGCUAAAGGAACCUUUUGUUAGUCCUAGAAACACUAACGAAUAAGGGGUGGGCAAGUUCUGGUGUCAGCCGCCGCGGUAAAACCAGCACCUCAAGUGGUCAGGAUGAUUAUUGGGCCUAAAGCAUCCGUAGCCGGCUCUGUAAGUUUUCGGUUAAAUCUGUACGCUUAACGUACAGGCCGCCGGGAAUACUGCAGAGAUAGGGAGUGGGAGAGGUAGACGGUACUCGGGAGGAAGUGGUAAAAUGCUUUGAUCUCUCGAUGACCACCUGUGGCGAAGGCGGUCUACCAGAACACGUCCGACGGUGAGGGAUGAAAGCUGGGGGAGCAAACCGGAUUAGAUACCCGGGUAGUCCCAGCUGUAAACUAUGCAAACUCAGUGAUGCAUUGGCUUGUGGCCAAUGCAGUGUUGCAGGGAAGCCGUUAAGUUUGCCGCCUGGGAAGUACGUACGCAAGUAUGAAACUUAAAGGAAUUGGCGGGGGAGCACCACAAGGGGUGAAGCCUGCGGUUCAAUUGGAGUCAACGCCGGG
rnacentral:rRNA from 1 species